UAGGGAAUCUUCCACAAUGGACGCAAGUCUGAUGGAGCAACGCCGCGUGAGUGAAGAAGGUCUUCGGAUCGUAAAACUCUGUUGUUAGAGAAGAACACGAGUGAGAGUAACUGUUCAUACGUUGACGGUAUUUAACCAGAAAGUCACGGCUAACUACGUGCCAG
rnacentral:rRNA from 1 species